rnacentral:rRNA from 1 species
UACAGAGGUGGCAAGCGUUGUUCGGAAUUACUGGGCGUAAAGGGCGCGUAGGCGGCCUUCUAAGUCAGACGUGAAAUCCCUCAGCUUAACUGGGGAACUGCGUCUGAUACUGGCGAGCUUGAGUGCAGGAGAGGAACGCGGAAUUCCAGGUGUAGCGGUGAAAUGCGUAGAUAUCUGGAGGAACACCGGUGGCGAAGGCGGCGUUCUGGACUGCAACUGACACUGAUAGACGAAAGCCAGGGGAGCAAACGGG